rnacentral:rRNA from 1 species
GUGAGGAAUUUUCCGCAAUGGGCGAAAGCCUGACGGAGCAAUGCCGCGUGAAGGAUGAAGGCCUAUGGGUUGUAAACUUCUUUUCUCAGAAAAGAAUUAUGACGGUAUCUGAGGAAUAAGCAUCGGCUAACUCUGUGCCAGCAGCCGCGGUAAGACAGAGGAUGCAAGCGUUAUCCGGAAUGAUUGGGCGUAAAGCGUCUGUAGGUUGUUUAAAAAGUAUUCUGUCAAAGAUUAGGGCUUAAACCUAGAUAGGCAGAAUAAACUUUUAAGCUAGAGUUUGGUAGAGGCAGAGGGAAUUCCCGGUGGAGCAGUGAAAUGCGUAGAUAUCGGGAGGAACACCAAAGGCGAAGGCACUCUGCUGGGCCAAUACUAACACUGAGAGACGAAAGCGAGGGGAGCAAAUGGGAUUAGAUACCCUGGUAGUCC